rnacentral:rRNA from 1 species
AAAAUCCGGGGGGCUGAGCUGAGGCGUGAUGACGAGGAACCACGGUUCCGAAGUGAUUGAUACCAAGCUUCCAGGAAAAGCCACUAAGCUUCAGUCUAGAGUUGACCGUACCGCAAACCGACACAGGUGGGCAGGAUGAAAAUUCUAAGGCGCUUGAGAGAACUCAGGAGAAGGAACUCGGCAAAUUAACACCGUAACUUCGGGAGAAGGUGUGCCCCGGUAGCGUGUAGAGACUUGCUCUCGAAGCGCGAUGGGGUUGUAGUGAAAUGGUGGCUGCGACUGUUUAAUAAAAACACAGCACUCUGCAAACACGAAAGUGGACGUAUAGGGUGUGACGCCUGCCCGGUGCCGGAAGGUUAAGUGAUGGGGUGCAAGCUCUUGAUCGAAGCCCCGGUAAACGGCGGCCGUAACAAUAACGGUCCUAAGGUAGCGAAAUUCCUUGUCGGGUAAGUUCCGACCUGCACGAAUGGCGUAACGAUGGCCACACUGUCUCCUCCUGGGACUCAGCGAAGUUGAAAUGUUUGUGAAGAUGCAAUCUACCCGUGGCUAGACGGAAAGACCCCAUGAACCUUUACUGUAGCUUUGCAUUGGACUUUGAACCGGUUUGUGUAGGAUAGGUGGGAGACUGUGAAGCCGGGACGCUAGUUUCGGUGGAGUCAACCUUGAAAUACCACCCUGAUUUGUUUGAGGUUCUAACCUUGGUCCGUGAAUCCGGGUCGGGGACCGUGCAUGGUAGGCAGUUUGACUGGGGCGGUCUCCUCCCAAAAGGUAACGGAGGAGUACGAAGGUACGCUUAGGGCGGUCGGACAUCGCCCACAAAGUGCAAUGGCAAAAGCGUGCUUGACUGCGAGACCCACAAGUCGAGCAGGUACGAAAGUAGGUCAUAGUGAUCCGGUGGUUCUGUAUGGAAGGGCCAUCGCUCAACGGAUAAAAGGUACUCUGGGGAUAACAGGCUAAUUCCUCCCAAGAGUUCAUAUCGACGGGGGGGUUUGGCACCUCGAUGUCGGCUCGUCACAUCCUGGGGCUGUAGUCGGUCCCAAGGGUAUGGCUGUUCGCCAUUUAAAGUGGUACGCGAGCUGGGUUUAAAACGUCGUGAGACAGUUUGGUCCCUAUCUGCCGUGGGCGCUGGAAAUUUGAAGGGGGCUGCUCCUAGUACGAGAGGACCGGAGUGGACGAACCUCUGGUGUACCGGUUAUGACGCCAGUCGUAUCGCCGGGUAGCUAAGUUCGGAAGAGAUAAACGCUGAAAGCAUCUAAGCGUGAAACUCGCCUUAAGAUAAGAUUUCCCGGAGCC